UCUGCAUUUUAGCUUAGUUUUUGUUAUAAAAGAGACAUAAAGACAAAAAACAUUUAAUUCCACGCAACCAAUUCACUCAGCGUGCAGCCAGUGAGUUUGGGACAUUAGCAGAGCAGGGUGCUGGAAGCUGCCAAGACCGUCUCACCCAGGCGCCCACCCAGGUGGGGAGGAAUUGAUUUUAUAUGCAGAAAGCGUGAGAACCAGGUCGGUCUCCUGAGAAGAAGAAAAACAGUGAAAUGAUGGAGUGAUGAAUAAAUGAGGGCAGGAGCAAUGAGAAGAAAGAAGAAGAAAAAGAAAAUGCUGAUGCCGACAG